AGCCCAUGAUGAGGGAACAACUUUAACAUAUCCUUAAAACACUCCCAUGAUUCAUAAAGUUUUUCACCUUCUUUUUAGGUAAAACUAUUGAUUUGAUUCCUUAUAUU